UACGGGGGGAGCAAGCGUUGUUCGGAUUUACUGGGCGUAAAGGGCACGUAGGCGGCCACCGCAAGUCGACUGUGAAAUCUCCGGGCUUAACUCGGAAAGGUCAGCCGAUACUGCGGGGCUAGAGUGCAGAAGGGGCAACUGGAGUUCUCGGUGUAGCGGUGAAAUGCGUAGAUAUCGAGAGGAACACCUGCGGCGAAGGCGGGUUGCUGGGCCGACACUGACGCUGAGGCGCGAAAGCUAGGGGAGCAAACGGG
rnacentral:rRNA from 1 species